rnacentral:rRNA from 1 species
CCUACGGGGGGCAGCAGUGGGGAAUUUUGGACAAUGGGCGCAAGCCUGAUCCAGCCAUUCCGCGUGAGUGAAGAAGGCCUUCGGGUUGUAAAGCUCUUUCGCAAGGGAAGAAAACUUAUCCUCUAACAUAGGAUGAGGUUGACGGUACCUUGAUAAGAAGCACCGGCUAACUACGUGCCAGCAGCCGCGGUAAUACGUAGGGUGCGAGCGUUAAUCGGAAUUACUGGGCGCAAAUUUGUAACAGGCUGGUGAAAUCCCCGAGCUCAACUUGGGAAACUCGUUUGAAACUACAAGACUAGAAUAGGUCAGAGGGGGGUAGAAUUCCACGUGUAGCAGUGAAAUGCGUAGAGAUGUGGAGGAAUAUCAAUGGCGAAGGCAGCCCCCUGGGAUCAUAUUGACGCUCAUGCACGAAAGCGUGGGGAGCAAACAGGAUUAGAUACCCCGGUAGUC